AUGGCACACUUAACCCGUGAGAUCGAGUAUCGUGGUUUUCCUGAUGGAGAUCGUCAUCCUGCUUCCAGUGCGCCAAAUCCUUCCUGGCCUGGCAUGAGUUUCGAAGCAGGAAGUGAUUCUGCAAGUGGUUCAAGUCGUGAGUUCGUCAAUCCGCCAGUUGUGAACAAUGGUGACGAACAGGAUGAAGUGAUGGAAGACGGUGAAGAAGACGAAAAUGUGCAGGCUUCUGGAGAUGCAUCAUCAGUCAAACCAAAAGCGCCCUAUGUUGGUAUGGUGUUCGACACCGUCGAGGAAGCUCAAAAGUUUUAUAAUGAAUAUGCCAAGAACCAAGGUUUUGGGACAAGGAUUGCGGGCACAAAAAGGACCCAGAAAAAGGGUUGUGACUUUAUAAUCAGAAGGGAGUUUGAGUGUGCUCAUGCAAGAAAGGGGGGUGAUGAUGUAGGAGGGAAGCAUGCAGGAUGUGAUCCUGAGAUGCAUGAUGCAGUUGAUGUUUUAGCUGAAGGAUGUAACAAGGAGAAAGAUUUUGGUAGCAAGAAAAUUGCAGCAAAAAGGAAUAGGAACAGGGUAAAUAGGCAUGACUGCAAAGCAAGAAUGGCGGUUGGGCUGAGGAGUGGAAAAUGGGAAGUGACAGUAUUCCAAGAAGAGCAUACACACCCCUUGAUGACUAGGUAUGAAUGGACCAUGUAUUACAGAUCACACAGGAAAGUGCCGUAUGAAGACUACAUGUUUCUGAAGACACUACAUAACCGCAACAUACCCACCUCUCUGAUUAUGGCUACACUUGGAGAUUUGCAUGGUGGUCAUGGGAACAUACCAUAUACUGAUAGAGAUGUUGCAAACAUUCGAACUAAGUGGAGGAAUGAGGUGUCUCUGAAAGACAUGGCAAAAACGUGUGAAUAUAUAUUUUGA
rnacentral:rRNA from 1 species